CAAACUUGCUGCAGGAAUGGAGAAUUAUAACAAAAUAUUGGACAGUAUGGGGCUGUGUUAACAACAAAGGAGGCUGAACAGGAAUGAAAGAAAAGAUGAAGAGUCCUGCCUGAAAUGUAGACUGUCCUGCUCCUCAGAUGCUGCCUGCCUGCUGUGCUUUCUUCAGCGCUACAUUUUGAAGAACAGAUGAAUGAAGAAAUGAAAUUAAAGAUACAUCAAAGAUACACAUUUUUCUCACAUCCGCAAUCAGUUGCACUUGAACCAUGCAGAUAAUCUCACUGUAGAGAAGCAAUAUCCUGAUUAAAUUAAAUGCUCAUCUGCAAAAUGAACUUGCCAGCCUGCAUUACUCUUGUCCUGAUCGGAACUGCCAUUGGGAAGUCUGGACUUAAUCCAGGAAUUCAAAGUAAAAUCACGCAGGAGGCUUUAGAAUAUGCCAAGCAAAUUGCUGUCACUGUUGCUGAGAAGAAGAUUAAAGGAUUUCAACCACCAGAUUUAAGUGGGACGAUCGACCUACUCGGGUGGAUAGACUAUCGUAUCACAGGGAUGUACAUUAAAAGUUUUGGAUUGCCGAGUUCCAACGUAGGAUUCAUCCCCAAUUCUGGAGUGAAAUUUUCAAUGGAUAAUGUCUACAUUGACAUCGGUGGACAAUGGCAUGUGACAUUUGGGUUGAUAAACGAUGGUGGAACCUUCGAACUGAACAUCAAAGAUCUCUCAGCUGCAUUCAUUGUCAAGAUUUCACAGGACGGGCCUCGACCAGCACUGAGUUACAAUGACUGUGACGCAAGUUUAAACAAUUUCGACCUUCAGCUUCACGGAGGGGGCAGCUGGUUUUACAACAUGUUCCUUUCUCAAGUGAAAAAUAAAAUCAAAGAAAUUGCUCCUCAUAAGCUGUGCUCUGAGUUUGGAAAUACAAUUGGAAAGCUCGAAACCUUCAUCCAGAGGCUGAAUAUUUCACGGCAGUUGGAUAAGUAUGUGGAAUUUGACUAUUCUUUAGUUGGAGAACCAGAAAUUACAAGUAACUCCAUUGUUCUUCCCAUUAAGGGUGAAUUAUAUGAUGUUCAAGACCAUGUGGAGUCCCCAUUUACUGCACAAUCAUUUAAGCUUCCAAAUACCACCAAUCACAUGCUGGCCCUUGGUCUGUCAGAGUACUUUGUUAACACGGGAGGAUUUGCAUAUUUUUCAGCUGGAGCUUUGCAUUUCAACAUCACAGAUGAUAUGAUUCCAAAGGACAUACCAAUUCGACUCAACACAUCCAGCCUGAAACCUUUGAUGCCGAAGGUUGCAGCACAGUACCCUAAUAUGUUGAUGAAAAUUGCAAUGAGUGCUUCAAAGCAACCAGUUGUAAGGCUUGUUCCAGGAAAGCUCACCGCUCAUACAUUUACUACACUAGAAGUAUUCGCAAUCCUUCCAAACAAGUCCUUAGCAGAACUAUUUGUGCUGGAUGUUAAGAAGUGGAGGAGUUCCCAAAUUCAUGGAGUUGGAUCUUCACCUCAGCAUCAGGAACUCAGUGUCGUGCCAUUUUCCCAACGUCAUAGUUCCAACCCCAUCACCUCUGCCCACUCCCAAAAUAUGUGGGUAGGCGAGGUACAAACAGGGCAGGCCCAGGGCAUUAAUGGAUGUACAUGCAUGCAAUAGAGCAAGCUGGUUGGAAAGGCCAUCUCUGUUUAUUGGCACAUCGGUCCAAUUAAUUUCAGGGUGGUUAGGCAACCUACCUCGCUCACUCUCACUAUCCCUCAACCACCCUGUGAUCCUUCAAUACACGUCAUGCCCACUCCACUCUCUGAUUUCUUCAUAUUACCUACAUGCCUCCUCAUAUUCUCAAUGUCUCCUCAGUGCCCUCUGACAUUUUCUUUAUGCCCACAUCCCCCCUCCAUCCUUACUCCAUUUCCAUGUUCUCCUUGAAUCCAUUAUGUACAGAACCAAUAAGUCAUUGGCAAGUCGCACAAGUUUUUGAAAUGGUCCUGAAACUGACACAUAGGCAAAUGGGACUUUAAAAAUCUCUGUGCUUAAAACCUCAUCAAAGUAUCAAUCUUUCACCUAAGGGCUACUCUUCAGAAUUCCCUUGUUAAAGCUCUCCAACCUCACCCCUCUACUUCCUCCCUUGCAUAUUUUUCUUAAAAUUCAUUUCUUUGAUCAAGUUUUACAUGUCUCCUGGUCUCCCCUAUUUUUUCUUUUGGUUUGUGAGGAACCUUCGGUUGACAUUCUGCUUUGAAGAUACUCUGUUGAUCCAUGUUUUGUUACUGAGAUCUGUUGAAACUUACUUGAGGGGACAUAUUUGUGGUGCACGCAUAGCAGAAACAUUAAUGGACACCGUAACUUGGAAAAACUGAAUAAUUCCCAAGGAACUUCCUUGAGCGCUCUUUAACAUUUUUCACUUUACAACUCUGACUUCAUUUUCUAUGUUUAAUGACUUGCAUAAUAUUACCAGAUGUUUCAAAAUGAUUCAUUUAAAAGUUAUGAGGGAUGAUUCAUGGAAUGGUUCAAGGGCAACUAGAGAUGGACAUUAAAUGCUAGGCAGCCAGAGAUGUCCAGUCCCAUGAAUAAAUAAUAAAGAAAUUACAGUAUUGAAGGCCAUUUGGCCCACGGAGUCUUUGCUGGAUCUCUAAGGAGCACAGAGUCAGUGUAGAUAUGACAGGCCAAACAGAUUUCUUUUGUGUUGUAACCAUUCUAUCACUCUUUAAUUUACAAUAACUGAGUUGAAAUGUUUUUAUGGUAUUGCUAAAGUCUGGUGAAAUACCAGAAGAAAUCCAUUGCACCAUUACAAACAAAUUAGCUAACUCCAUUCAAACUUCUUUCUACAAUGUAGAUUAACUAAUGUUUCCUCUCUCUGAUAUGCAGCAUGGAUUUAUAGAAGAAACAGUAAAUUACAAAAUGUUCACAUUGCUCCCCUCAUUACCCUCUUACACCUCCCAAUACCCACCAAUGCCAAAGAUGGUGUUUGCAAUUACUUUUUCUGCCACUGGAAGCCAUGCAAACUGGACAUCAGAUAAAAGCAUGCUUGUAACCUCAUAAAAUAGAAUUGUCAAGUUAGUAACAAAGCUGAUACAGAUUUGAUAGCAGAAUUAUUGAAAAAUGUCCCAACUCAUUAACAAUACACUUUGAUAUCAUUUAGCGGUACAAGUGUAAACUUGUCUGAACUUAAGUCCAGCACUGCAACUGCAAACAACCAUUCUACACAUUUUAAUUCAACUUCAACUUUGCUUCCGUCUGCUCCAUUACUGGACAGAGUGUGAUACUCUGAGUUGUGGGCUCCUAUUUUAAAUCAAGUCGUGAUACGAGAGAUUGAGCCUUCAAUAUUAAUAAUUAGAAUUUUAUCAAUGAUAUUUACUCUACAAAAGAAAUAUAUGCAAACUCAACAAUAUUCAAUAAAGUUCGGCCUAUACUUUUGUGAUCUAAGAUGUGAUUUGCUAUAAUUUAGUAUAAUUUAUUUUUUUGUUUUUCUUACAAAUUUUAAAAUACUACUAUUACUACUAAUACAUGGAAUAAAUUACUACUGAUAUCUUGAUUUUCUGAGUGUCUGAAGAGGUUUGAUGACUGGUAGGUAGGUCUGUCAUGAUGGAGAUUGUAAACCAUGGUGAUUUCUUUAUUUAAAAAUAAAGUCUGGGAGGGAGGGAGUUCAGGGAGGUUAAUAGGAAUUUGUUAAUAUUGAGAGUUAAUGAGUGAACAAGGUAAACAGCAUAAUACAUUAAAGUUUUAAUUGUUUAUGGGAAGCACCCAUAGCUUGGAAGAAAAAGAUUUUUAGUUUCAGUUUGGGGUCGGAUGCAGAAGUUUUGGCUGAAGUUGGAUGUGAAAAGCAAUUGCUUUGACAAAGAGGAAUACCGAAGAACUGUUAAGAAAGAGGUUACCUCAGUGAGGAGUUUAGCUUCAAAGUUCCACAACAGAAGUGUGGUUAAAACUCUGAAGAGUUAUGUUACAGUGUGAAAGCAAGCUUGGUUAAUUGAUGAAUCAAGGAAGAGGCUAUCGAGUUCUCAAGAUUGAAGCCACAGUUAAGAUAAGAUCAACAAUGUGAAAGAGAAAGGAAUUCUCUGGUACAGCCAGUGUGCUUGGGCAGAUAUUCAUUUCAGACAUGAAAGUGAGUGGGACAGUGUUUUUGAACAG